ACGGAGGUUCCAAGCGUUGUUCGGAAUUACUGGGCGUAAAGGGAGCGCAGGCGGACAAGUCAGUUUGAAGUGGAAAUCCGGGGCUCAACCUCGGACUUGCUUCGGAUACUACUUGUCUUGAGUUCGUGAGAGGAAGAUGGAAUUCAGGGUGUAGCGGUGAAAUGCACAGAUAUCCUGAGGAACACCGGUGGCGAAAGCGGUCUUCUGGCACGAAACUGACGCUGAGGCUCGAAAGCGUGGGUAGCAAACGG
rnacentral:rRNA from 1 species